UACGGAGGGUGCAAGCGUUAAUCGGAAUUACUGGGCGUAAAGCGCACGCAGGUGGCUGAGUCAGUCGAUUGUGAAAGCCCUGGGCUUAACCUGGGAAUUGCAGUCGAUACUACUCAGCUAGAGUAUGGGAGAGGGUAGUGGAAUUCCCGGUGUAGCGGCGAAAUGCGUAGAUAUCGGGAGGAACAUCAGUGGCGAAGGCGGCUACCUGGCCCAAUACUGACACUCAGGUGCGACAGCGUGGGGAGCAAACAGG
rnacentral:rRNA from 1 species